AACUGACACUCAGGUGCGAAAGCGUGGGGAGCAAACGGGAUUAGAUACCCCGGUAGUCCACGCCGUAAACGAUGUCUACUUGGCGGUGGGGGACUUGAUCCCUGGCUGGCGCAGCUAACGCGAUAAGUAGACCGCCUGGGGAGUACGGUCGCAAGAUUAAAACUCAAAUGAAUUGACGGGGGCCCGCACAAGCGGUGGAGCAUGUGGUUUAAUUCGAUGCAACGCGAAGAACCUUACC
rnacentral:rRNA from 1 species